GCAGCCACUGCUUUGGGACUGGCUGGGAGAGUGGUGAGCAAUUGCAUUUGUCAUCAUCCCCUGUGCUUCAGCAGGGACUUCUGUGCUUUGUACAUAUUGAUCAAGUGAAUAGUUUUCAUAUCCUAGACCUAUGAUUCCUCUACUUGAAAAUUAUGAACUAUGGAAUUUGAGUGAAAAUGUCCUACACUUUAAGUCCCCCAUAUGGAACCACACUGCUGCGAAGCAACCCAUGCUGGUCCUGUGUGUUCUUCGGUAAGAGGGCUUUGAAGGCUGCAGAGCUCACGUGUUGUCUUCGUCCCUCCGGAUGAACUUGGGGACUGGGUGAGGACUCGUUAGUGGGUGUUCCCCACUUUGUGUCACCAUAUGCAAUCCUGGACAGCGUACUUUGACCCACACAUCUCAACGCUUGUAUGCAUACAAAAAUUAGUGAGAAAAAAAGUAAUAAAAGGGCAGGAAUGAGAGAAACCUGUCUUUGAAAAUAAAAAUCUACUUCUCCAUCUAUAUGUUUUUCCUGUUCUGCCUGAUAUAUGGGAACCGCACUGAAGUACCCGAGCCUGCUACAUUUCUUGCCUUAGCUGUCUUUACAAAGUUCAUGUUGUUAGGCAGUUCUGGAGCUACCUGUCAGUUUGCUGAAUUUUAUAAAGGGAGUCUGCAGCAGAAGAUUCUGGCAUAUCCCCUAGCCAGUGGGUUGUGCUGUAAAAUUGUUUGGAGUUGGAAAUUAGUGGGGUGACAAAUGCCAAGGAGAUUAUUGAUCCACUAUUAGAGAAGUUAUGUGGUACAAAGUCAACUAAUUUAACUCUUGUGUUGUGGAAUGGCCUUGUUGAGUGUUGUGCCAGCUUAAUUCUUGCCUUGUAAAAUGUACCAUUUUAACCAAACGUUUGACAGUUUAUAUAGACAAGAAAUAAAUUAAAGCUUUAGAGAUAAAGC